GACGAACGCUGGCGGCGUGGAUUAGGCAUGCAAGUCGAACGGUAUCAUCCUUUCGGGGGUGAGAGAGUGGCGAACUGGUGAGUAACACGUAGGUUAUCUACCCUCAAGACGGGGACAACCCAGGGAAACUUGGGCUAAUACCGGAUGUGAGCAACUUUUAGUUGUUUGAAAGGUGGCGUAAGCUGUCGCUUGGGGAUGAGCCUGCGUCCUAUUAGUUAGUUGGUGAGGUAACGGCUCACCUAGGCAAUGAUAGGUAGGCGGCCUUAACGGGUGGUCGCCCACACUGGGAUUGAGAUACGGCCCAGACUCCUACGGGAGGCAGCAGUCGAGAAUAGUCUACAAUGGUCGGAAGACUGAUAGUGCGACGCCGCGUGAACGAUGAAUCCCUUCGGGGUGUAAAGUUCUUUUAUAUGUGAGCAGUGCUUCUUAUAUUAACAGUAUGGGGAGAGAGAUAUAGCAUAUGAAUAAGCAACGGCUAACUCCGUGCCAGCAGCCGCGGU
rnacentral:rRNA from 1 species